AAGGGUAUAGCUCAGUGGUAGAGUGCAUGCAUAGCAUGCAUGAGGUCCUGGGUCAAUCCCCAGUACCUCCU
rnacentral:tRNA from 1 species